GAGUUUGAUUCUGGCUCAGAAUGAACGCUGGCGGCGUGCUUAACACAUGCAAGUCGAGCGAGAAAGUCUCCUUCGGGGGAUGAGUAAAGCGGCGAACGGGUGAGUAACACGUGGGCAACCUACCUCGGAGCGGGGGAUAACUUGGGGAAACUCGGGCUAAUACCGCAUACGCCUCGAAGGCUUCGGCCUGAGAGGGAAAGCUGGCCUCUACACGUAAGCUGGCACUCCGGGAGGGGCCCGCGCCCGAUUAGCUAGAUGGUGGGGUAACGGUCUACCAUGGCGACGAUCGGUAGCCGGCCUGAGAGGGCGAUCGGCCACACUGGGACUGAGACACGGCCCAGACUCCUACGGGAGGCAGCAGUGGGGAAUAUUGGACAAUGGGGGCAACCCUGAUCCAGCAACGCCGCGUGGAGGAAGAAGGCCUUCGGGUCGUAAACUCCUGUCAGGUGGGACGAAACCGCCAAAGUCAAUAGCUUUGGUUUCUGACGGUACCACCAGAGGAAGCCCCGGCUAACUCCGUGCCAGCAGCCGCGGUAAUACGGAGGGGGGCUAGCGUUAUUCGGAAUUACUGGGCGUAAAGGGCGCGUAGCGGCCUCGC
rnacentral:rRNA from 1 species